rnacentral:rRNA from 1 species
GUUAGGAAUAUUGGACAAUGGGCGAAAGCCUGAUCCAGCCAUGCCGCGUGAACGAUGAAGGCCUUCGGGUUGUAAAGUUCUUUAGCCGAUGAUUAUAAUGACUGUAGUCGGAAAAUAAGCCCCGGCUAACUUCGUGCCAGCAGCCGCGGUAAUACGAAGGGGGCGAGCGUUAUUCGGAAUCACUGGGCGUAAAGCGUGCGUAGGCGGUUUUGUAAGUUAGGAGUGAAAGCCCAGGGCUCAACCUUGGAAUUGCUCUUAAAACUGCAAGGCUCGAAUCUCGGAGAGGAUAGCGGAAUUUCCAGUGUAGCAGUGAAAUGCGUAGAUAUUGGAAGGAACACCAGUGGCGUAAGCGGCUAUCUGGACGAGUAUUGACGCUGAGGCACGAAAGCGUGGGGAUCAAACAGGAUUAGAAACCCCAGUAGUCC